rnacentral:rRNA from 1 species
ACGUGGAUAACUGUGGUAAUUCUAGAGCUAAUACAUGCAAACAAGUCCCGACCAGCGAUGGGGAGGACGCUUUUAUUGGAUCAAAACCUUUCGCCCGGCCUGCCCGGGCGUCAGCUUGAUGACUCUAGAUAACACCACAGAUCGCACGGUCACAGUACCGGUGACAUAUCCUUCAAAUGUCUGACUUAUCAGCUGUCGAUGGUAGACUCUGUGUCUACCAUGGCGCUCACGGGUGACGGGGAAUCAGGGUUCGAUUCCGGAGAGGGAGCCUGAGAAACGGCUACCACAUCCAAGGAAGGCAGCAGGCACGCAAAUUACCCACUCCCGGCACGGGGAGGUAGUGACAAAAAAUAACGAUACGGGACUCAUCCGAGGCCCCGUAAUCGGAAUGAGAACACCCUAAAUCCUUUAAC